AUGGAUCCCGUGGAGGCGGAGGAGCAGCAGACGGAGCCGCCGGACGACGAGGCCUACGCCGAGGCCGAUCCCACCGGCCGCUUCAUCCGGUACGAUGAGAUCUUGGGAUCGGGUGCCGUCAAAACAGUCUACAAGGCCUUCGAUAAGCUGGAGGGCGAUGAGGUCGCAUGGUGCCAAACACGGAUUGAUGAUUCUGUCAUGGGUUCCUCAGACAAGAUGGCACAACUGAAUACGGAGAUCCGUCUGUUGAAGACGCUGAGGCACAAGAACAUUCAGAAGUUGUUUGCCUCAUGGAUUGAUGAGGACAAGAAGACAGUUAACAUCAUCACAGAGCUCUGCACAUCCGGCAGUUUGAGGCAGUUUCGUAAGAAGCACAAUAAAGUCGGUAUGAAGGCUAUGAGAGGAUGGGCAAUACAGAUAUUGACAGGGCUGGAAUAUCUUCACAGUCAGAAGCCAGCGAUUAUCCAUAGGGAUUUAAAGUGUGACAACAUAUUCAUAAACGGUCAUGAUGGACAAGUGAAGAUUGGUGACUUUGGUCUGGCGACAUUUUUGCAUCAACGGAAAACGAGAAGUAUCAAAGGCACAUUAGAGUUUAUGGCACCAGAACUCUUCACCGGGAAUUACAAUGAGUUGGUGGAUAUAUAUUCAUUUGGGAUGUGCAUGCUUGAAAUGGUGACGUGUGAAUAUCCAUACAGUGAAUGCGAAGGCAAGCCAUGGAUAUACAAGAAAAUUUCUGAAGGUAUAAAACCAGCUGUGCUUUCCAAGGUUGAAGAUGCAGAAGUAAGAGGUUUCAUAGAAAUCUGUUUGGCUCCGGCAGCUGAAAGACUUUGUGCAAGUGAGCUCUUGAAGAACUGUUUCCUCCAGAAAGACAAGCCUAUCCCAGCGCCUCCUAUUUCAGUCUCUCUGGUCUCGAGUGUGACUAAAGAUGGGCGGCAGUCUGCCAGUUUCAUGCUAUGGAAGGGUGAAUUCUCACUGAAAGGCGAUAUGCAUGUCACCGACCAUGUUAAUUUAUCGCUAAGAUUUCCUGAUCCCAGUGGUUGUUUUAAGAAUGCCGAAUUCCCGUUCGAUGUGGACCAAGAUACCAGCCUUUCUGUGGCUCUGGAAAUGGUCGACACUUUUGGAUUGCCGCAAGGGAACAUGCAGAUCAUAGCGCAGCUGAUUGAGGUGUUCUUGCUCAUCCUGAUCCCUGAAUGGGUGCCCUGCGUUGCUGUCGGACGGGUGGUUGUGGUUCCUGAGAGUGCACACAGCCACAGCUACAUCUCCAAAAUUAUCAUGAACUGCAGGCAGCUCAGAUUGGCCGUCCUAGGAUAG
rnacentral:rRNA from 1 species